AUUGAACGCUGGCGGCAGGCUUUACACAUGCAAGUCGAACGGCAGCGCGGGCUUCGCCCUGGCGGCGAGUGGCGAACGGGUGAGUAAUGCAUCGGAACCUGCCCAGUAGUGGGGGAUAGCGCGCGGAAAGGGGGAUUAAUACCGCAUACGACCUGAGGGUGAAAGCGGGGGACCUAAGGGCCUCGCGCUAUUGGAGCAGCCGAUGUCGGAUUAGCUAGUUGGUGGGGUAAAGGCUUACCAAGGCGACGAUCCGUAGCUGGUCUGAGAGGACGACCAGCCACACUGGGAAUGAGACACGGCGCAGAGUCCUCCGGGAGGGAGCAGUGGGGAAAUUUGGACAAUGGGGGCAACACUGAUCCAGCCCUGCGGCGUGCGGGAAGAGGGCCUUCGGGUUUUGAAAAGCUUUUGUACGGGAGGAAAACCGCAGGGCUAAUACCCCGGGGGGAUGACGGUACAGGAAGAGUAAGCACCGGCUAACUACGUG
rnacentral:rRNA from 1 species